GUAGGGAGCAAGCGUUGUUCGGAUUUACUGGGCGUAAAGGGCGCGUAGGCGGCGCGGUAAGUCACUUGUGAAAUCUCUGAGCUUAACUCAGAACGGCCAAGUGAUACUGCAGUGCUAGAGUGCAGAAGGGGCAAUCGGAAUUCUUGGUGUAGCGGUGAAAUGCGUAGAUAUCAAGAGGAACACCUGAGGUGAAGACGGGUUGCUGGGCUGACACUGACGCUGAGGCGCGAAAGCCAGGGGAGCAAACGGGAUUAGAUACCCCGGUAGUCCUGGCCCUAAACGAUGAAUACUUGGUGUCUGGAGUUUCAAGACUCCGGGUGCCGUCGCUAACGUUUUAAGUAUUCCGCCUGGGGAGUACGCUCGCAAGAGUGAA
rnacentral:rRNA from 1 species